rnacentral:rRNA from 1 species
UACGGGGGGGGCAAGCGUUGUUCGGAAUUACUGGGCGUAAAGGGCUCGUAGGCGGCCAACUAAGUCGGAUGUGAAAUCCCCAGGCUUAACCUGGGAACUGCAUCCGAUACUGGAUGGCUUGAAUCCGGGAGAGGGAUGCAGAAUUCCAGGUGUAGCGGUGAAAUGCGCAGAUAUCAGGAAGAACACCCGUGGCGAAGGCGGUUCUCUGGGACGGUACUGACGCUGAGACGCGAAAGCGUGGGGAGCGAACAGG